rnacentral:tRNA from 1 species
GGAGGAGUACUCAAAUUGGUUACGAGAACAGUUUGCUAAACUGUGUGGCCUUACGGCCACUUGUGGGUUCGAGCCCCACCUCCUCCG